UCUACCUUAGGUCCUGGAGGUCCCAUGGCUCCUGGAAAGCCCUAGAAAAAUCCAUAAGUUAAAAUCACAGCAGGAAAUGUGCCAAGCCAAAAACUCUAUGUGAAGUUUUUAGCUAUAAUGAAUUUAUUAGGUUACAGUGUCUACAGCAGUGAUGACUUCAUACUCACUAAGAAUCCCGGAGGGCCAGGUGGACCAGCAGGUCCCGGAAAGCCUGGAAGGCCUGGUAAACCCUGUAAAUUACAAGAAGAAUAGAAUGAACGUGCCAUUGUUAUAUCUCCAUCAGCAGCACACUGCAGUACCUAGCCAACAUUCAAUGCACAUUUGAGAGACAUAUCAACAUCCCAGAUUGCUAUCUCUUCUUAUUGGAUCCCUUCCUUCAGCAUCAGGCCCCGUAAAUGUUUCCUAAGCAAGAAAAUGAAGAAUCAUCAUGUUCUGCAUCUUCCCUCAAAGAUUACUUUUACCUGUUCUUGAACUUCACCUACAGAGCAUAGCAUACAGAAUGUACUCCUUUGUGGCAUGUGUAUAACUUUUACAGUGCAGAGCUCUUAUUUUUUAAAGAAGAAGAAGAGUUUUCAUCAAUCAGGAUGGACCAGUUGGACUACUAACCCUUACACCUUUGGGACCAGUGAGUCCUGGAAGUCCUGGUGAGCCCUAGACCCAGAAAAAAAACAAACAAACAAAAAAAGGCACUGGAAAUUACUUGGCACUAAGAAACCGUAAAUUAAAAGUCCUCAUUUUA